GAACCGUCCAAACGUUAUUCGGAAUCAUUGGGCUUAAAGGGUGCGUAGGCGGUGUGGUCAGUUGGGUGUGAAAUCCCUCGGCUCAACCGAGGAACUGCGCCCAAUACUGCCAUACUCGAGGGAGACAGAGGUAAGCGGAACUGAUGGUGGAGCGGUGAAAUGCGUUGAUAUCAUCAGGAACACCAGUGGCGAAGGCGGCUUACUGGGUCUCUUCUGACGCUGAGGCACGAAAGCUAGGGGGAGCGAACGGGGUUAGAUACCCCGGUAGUCCUAGCUGUAAACGAUGAGCACUUGAUCGGAGACUCCUCCAUAGGUUUCCGGUCGUAGCGAAAGUGUUAAGUGCUCCGCCUGGGGAUAUGGUCGCAAGGCUG
rnacentral:rRNA from 1 species